UUUAUGGAGAGUUUGAUCCUGGCUCAGGAUGAACGCUGGCGGCGUGCCUAAUACAUGCAAGUCGAGCGAACGGACGAGAAGCUUGCUUCUCUGAUGUUAGCGGCGGACGGGUGAGUAACACGUGGAUAACCUACCUAUAAGACUGGGAUAACUUCGGGAAACCGGAGCUAAUACCGGAUAAUAUUUUGAACCGCAUGGUUCAAAAGUGAAAGACGGUCUUGCUGUCACUUAUAGAUGGAUCCGCGCUGCAUUAGCUAGUUGGUAAGGUAACGGCUUACCAAGGCAACGAUGCAUAGCCGACCUGAGAGGGUGAUCGGCCACACUGGAACUGAGACACGGUCCAGACUCCUACGGGAGGCAGCAGUAGGGAAUCUUCCGCAAUGGGCGAAAGCCUGACGGAGCAACGCCGCGUGAGUGAUGAAGGUCUUCGGAUCGUAAAACUCUGUUAUUAGGGAAGAACAUAUGUGUAAGUAACUGUGCACAUCUUGACGGUACCUAAUCAGAAAGCCACGGCUAACUACGUGCCAGCAGCCGCGGUAAUACGUAGGUGGCAAGCGUUAUCCGGAAUUAUUGGGCGUAAAGCGCGCGUAGGCGGUUUUUUAAGUCUGAUGUGAAAGCCCACGGCUCAACCGUGGAGGGUCAUUGGAAACUGGAAAACUUGAGUGCAGAAGAGGAAAGUGGAAUUCCAUGUGUAGCGGUGAAAUGCGCAGAGAUAUGGAGGAACACCAGUGGCGAAGGCGACUUUCUGGUCUGUAACUGACGCUGAUGUGCGAAAGCGUGGGGAUCAAACAGGAUUAGAUACCCUGGUAGUCCACGCCGUAAACGAUGAGUGCUAAGUGUUAGGGGGUUUCCGCCCCUUAGUGCUGCAGCUAACGC
rnacentral:rRNA from 1 species